rnacentral:tRNA from 1 species
UGGAAGGUUGGCAGAGCUGGCUUAUUGCACCGGUCUUGAAAACCGACGAGGAGAGAUCCUCCCAGGGUUCGAAUCCCUGACCUUCCGCCAA